rnacentral:rRNA from 1 species
AGUGGGGAAUAUUGGACAAUGGGGGAAACCCUGAUCCAGCCAUGCCGCGUGAGUGAUGAAGGCCUUAGGGUUGUAAAGCUCUUUUACCAGGGAAGAUGAUGACGGUACCUGGAGAAUAAGCACCGGCUAACUUCGUGCCAGCAGCCGCGGUAAUACGAAGGGUGCUAGCGUUGUUCGGAAUCACUGGGCGUAAAGCGCGCGUAGGCGGCUUAUCAAGUCAGGGGUGAAAUCCUGGGGCUUAACCCCAGAACUGCCUUUGAAACUGAUAAGCUGGAGUACUGGAGGGGAUAGCGGAAUUGCUAAUGUAGAGGUGAAAUUCGUAGAUAUUAGCAGGAACACCGGUGGCGAAGGCGGCUAUCUGGACAGUAACUGACGCUUAGGCGCGAAAGUGUGGGGAUCAAA